GACGAACGCUGGCGGCGUGCCUAAUACAUGCAAGUAGAACGCUGAAGGAGGAGCUUGCUUCUCUGGAUGAGUUGCGAACGGGUGAGUAACGCGUAGGUAACCUGCCUGGUAGCGGGGGAUAACUAUUGGAAACGAUAGCUAAUACCGCAUAAUAGUAGAUGUUGCAUGACAUUUGCUUAAAAGGUUCAAUUGCAUCACUACCAGAUGGACCUGCGUUGUAUUAGCUAGUUGGUGGGGUAACGGCUCACCAAGGCGACGAUACAUAGCCGACCUGAGAGGGGGAUCGGCCACACUGGGACUGAGACACGGCCCAGACUCCUACGGGAGGCAGCAGUAGGGAAUCUUCGGCAAUGGACGGAAGUCUGACCGAGCAACGCCGCGUGAGUGAAGAAGGUUUUCGGAUCGUAAAGCUCUGUUGUAAGAGAAGAACGAGUGUGAGAGUGGAAAGUUCACACUGUGACGGUAUCUUACCAGAAAGGGACGGCUAACUACGUG
rnacentral:rRNA from 1 species